AAAGUACUCCCUCCGUCCCAAAAUUCUUGUCUUAGAUUUGUCUAGAUACGGAUGUAUCAAGUCACAUUUUAGUAUUAGAUACAUCCGUAUCUACACAAAUCUAAGACAAGAAAUUUGGGACAGAGGGAGUAGUUG
rfam:Triticum aestivum genome assembly, contig: Triticum_aestivum_CS42_TGACv1_scaffold_076512_1DL